rnacentral:lncRNA from 1 species
CUGGGAUUACAGGCACGUGCCGCCACGCCCGGCUAAUUUUCUAUUUUUAGUAGAUACAGGGUUUCUCCAUUUGGUCAGGCUGGUCUCAAACUCCUGACCUCAGGUGAUCUGCCUGCCUUGGCCUCCCAAUGUGCUGGGAUUAUAGGUAUGAGCCACUGCGCCCCGCCGAGGCAAAGCCUUUAGUGCACUGGAAUGCAGAAGGUGUUUCAAUAUAAGAUAUCUGUUGUUAUAAUGUAUAUACAUACAGCAGAAAGAGAAUAGGAGUGGACAUCAGGAGAACUGGGUUCUAGCCAGCACUCUGCCAAUAACUGGCUUCGUGAUUUUGGACAGCUGGCUUAACCUGGGUCUCACUUCUAACAUAGGAGUCAUAUUAUUAAAAAUGCCUACCUCAUGGGGUAGUGGUGAGGAUUGAAUGAAUUAGUACACGUGAAGUGCUAGCAGAACACUUGAGACAUAGUAAACAUAAGCGUUCAAUACAUAUUGGCUGUUGAAAUAUUUGUCAGCUACACCCCCCACCUGAAUGCAAGCAUUUGGCCACUUCCUGUAUUGAGAAGUGAUGAGGAAGGAACUGGAGAUGGGAUGAGAGGAAAAGCUGGUAAAACCUCCCCACAUGCCAGGAAUAACUCUGUGCCCACCCCACCUCCAGAUGCUGCCAUCCCCUUCUCCUCCCAGCUUCUCCCCACCUGCACCUACCUCUGUGUUGGAUGGGCCCCCUGCACCUGUCCUGCCUGGGGGUGAGUGGAAGGAACUGGGAGCCCUGGGAGGCUAACAGACAGGAAGAAGGAGGAAGCUUGGACUCCCAGGUCACGCUCUGGUCCUCUCCGUGCCCUCAGGCAUCUUGCUUGGUGGAGAGCACUUGCCUGGGCUCUGGAGCCAGGCUGACUGGUUCAGGUCCCGCUCUGUCAUCUCCAAGUGUGUGGUGGGAUUCUGAACCUGUCUUGGCCUCAGUUUAUGUUCUUUAUGAGGUAAGGAAAAGGUACUAGCUCAUUGAAUUCUUAUGAGAGUUAAAAAAGAUGCCUGUGGACCACACAGCAUUGUGCCUGGCACACAGUAAGUAUGCAGUCACUGUUAUUAUUUUAAAAAUUAGCUAACUUCUCUCACGGUGUCCUCCCAAUAUGCACCUUUUGCUCCUAGUGUCCAGAUACCUAGCUUUGUAUCAUUAUUUUUUCUGAUGCCCACUUUUUUUUCUUUUUUAAAUGUCUAUAGCAGUUUUAUUUUAUUAUUUAUUUUAGAUUCAGGAGGUACAUGUGCUUGUUUGUCAUAUGGAUAUAUUGCAUACUGGUGGAGAUUGGGCUUCUAGUGUACCUGUAACUCAAAUAGUGAACAUUGUACCUGAUAGGUAAUUUUUCAACCCUCGCCCCUGCCUCCACUCCUACCUUUGCCCCCUUUGGAGUCCUGGGAGUCUGUUAUUUCCAUCUCUAUGUCCAUGUGUACUCGUUGUUUAGCUCCCACUUAUAAGUGAGAACAUGCAAUAUUUGGUUUUCUGUUUCUGAGUUAGUUCACUUAGGAUAAUGGCAUCCAACUCCAUUCAUGUUGCUGCAGAGGACAUGAUUUCAUUCUUUUUUAUGGCUGUGGAAUGCCUGCCUUUUCUAAAACCUUCUGGUACUUCCACCUUGUCCACAAGGAGUCUCCCUCCCUGGAGUUACCACCAUCUCCACCACCCCAAGUUCACUUUGCGUGACUUAGCACUUAGUCAUUUAUUGUGUUUGUUGAGGUUUCAUUAUUGGUUUCUUGACAGCCAUUGGGGGUGGGAGCACUAUGCAUCCUAUCUCCCUUAGUUUUGUACCUUGAGCAGAGCUGAUUAUACAGCAGUUGCCCAAUAAAUGUUGAGGACAGUGGAUAGAGUGAUGGAUUUUAUGGUCUAGGAUGGUGACCAUUAAUUUAACAAAUAUUUAUAGAAUGCCACUGUCCUAAGUGCUGGAGAUACAGCAUUGAACAAAACAAAGUCUGAAGACUGACUUGUGGUUCUUAUUUCCAGACAAAGCCCUGGACUUCCCCGGGUUCCUGGACAUGAUGGCACCUCGACUCAGGCCGAUGCGUCCACCACCUCCCCCGCCGGCUAAAGCCCCGGAUCCUGGCCACCCAGAUCCCCUCACCUGAAGGCCAGGGAAGCCUUGACCCCCAGUGAUGCUGCUGUCCCUAUCUUCAAGCUGUCAGACCACACCAUCAAUGAUCCAGAGCAACACAGCCAAAAGCUGGAAUCGCCCUUAUUUCCACCCUCACCUCCAAGGGUGGAAACUUGCCCCUUCCCAUUUCUGGAGCUGGAACCCACUCCUUUUUUUCCCAUUGUUCUAUCAUCUCUAGGACCGGAACUACUACUUUCUCUUCUGUCAUCACCCUAUCUAGGGUGGUGAAAUGCCUGAAAUCUCUGGGGCUGGAAACCAUCCAUCAAGGUCUCUAGUGGUUCUGGCCCACCUCUUUCCCCACCCUGGCUCCAUGACCCACCCCACUCUGGAUGCCAGGGUCACUGGGGUUGGGCUGGGGAGAGGAACAGGCCUUGGGAAUCAGGAGCUGGAGCCAGGAUUCGAAGCAGCUGUAAUGGUCUGAGCGGAUUUAUUGACAAUGAAUAAAGGGCACGAAGGCCAGGCCAGGGCCUGGGCCUCUUGUGCUAAGAGGGCAGGGGGCCUACGGUGCUAUUGCUUUAGGGGCCCACCACGGGCAGGGGCCUGCUCCCAGCUGCCACGCUCUAUCACAUGGAGCGAGGUGUUGGGGAAGGCGGGGCAGGCAGCCUGUUGCAGGCAGGGGAAGGAGAAGAGACUGAGGGGCUGUGACCUCUCCUGAGGCCCCCAGCCUGAGACUGUGCAACUCCAGGUGGAAGUAGAGCUGGUCCCUCAGCUGGGGGGCAGUGCUGUUCAGUGGAGGGGAGGGCUUUCACGCCCACCCACCCCCUGGCCCUGCCAGCUGGUAGUCCAUCAGCACAAUGAAGGAGACUUGGAGAAGAGGAAGAAUAACACUGUUGCUUCCUGUUCAAGCUGUGUCCAGCUUUUCCCCUGGGGCUCCAGGACCUUCCCUACCUGCACCACCAAACCAAGGGAUUUAUAGCAAAGGCUAAGCCUGCAGUUUACUCUGGGGGUUCAGAGAGCCGAAAGGCUUAAAUAGUUUAAGUAGGUGAUGGGAAGAUGAGAUUACCUCAUUUAGGGCUCAGGCAGACUCACCUCACAUACUACCUGCUCCCUGUGGUAGAGACACCUGAGAGAAAGGGGAGGGGUCAACAAUGAGAGACCAGGAGUAGGUCCUAUCAGUGCCCCCCAGAGUAGAGAGCAAUAAGAGCCCAGCCCAGUGCAGUCCCGGCUGUGUUUUCCUACCUGGUGAUCAGAAGUGUCUGGUUUGCUUGGCUGCCCAUUUGCCUCUUGAGUGGGCAGCCCUGGGCUUGGGCCCCUCCCUCCGGCCCUCAGUGUUGGCUCUGCAGAAGCUCUGGGGUUCCCUUCAAGUGCACGAGGGGCUAGGCUGCUGUCCCUGAGUCCUCCAUUCUGUACUGGGGGGCUGGCUAGGACCUGGGGCUGUGGCCUCUCAGGGGGCAGCCUCUCCAUGGCAGGCAUCCCUGCCUUGGGCUGCCCUCCCCCAGACCCCUGACCACCCCCUGGGUCCUGUCCCCCACCAGAGCCCCAGCUCCUGUCCAUGGGGGAGCCAUCACGGUGUUCGUGCAGUCCAUAGCGCUUCUCAAUGUGUGUCACCCGGAACCUGGGAGGGGAGGGAACACUGGGGUUUAGGACCACAACUCAGAGGCUGCUUGGCCCUCCCCUCUGACCAGGGACAUCCUGAGUUUGGUGGCUACUUCCCUCUGGCCUAAGGUAGGGGAGGCCUUCUCAGACUGUGGGGCACAUUGUGUAGCCUGACUUCUGCCGGAGCUCCCAGUCCAGGAGGAAAGAGCCAAGGCCCACUUUUGGGAUCAGGUGCCUGAUCAUUGGGCCCCCUACCUCAGCCUCCCUUUCCCUGGAGCACCUGCCCCACCUGCCCACAGAGAACACAGUGGUCUCCCCUGUCCGGGGGCGGCUUUUUCCUUCCUUGGAGCGUCCCUGACGGACAAGUGGAGGCCUCUUGCUGCGGCUGCAAUGGAUGCAAGGGGCUGCAGAGCCCAGGUGCACUGUGUGAUGAUGGGAGGGGGCUCCGUCCUGCAGGCUGGAGGUGGCAUCCACACUGGACAGCAGGGAGGAGGGGAGUAAGGGUAACAUUUCCAUUUCCCUUCAUGUUUUGUUUCUUACGUUCUUUCAGCAUGCUCCUUAAAACCCCAGAAGCCCCAAUUUCCC